rnacentral:rRNA from 1 species
UAAGCAGGUGCGCUAACUCGCAAGGGAGGUAGCUUGCCACGGUAGGGUCAGUGACUGGGGUGAAGUCGUAACAAGGUAGCCGUAGGGGAACCUGCGGCUGGAUCACCUCCUUU